GACAAACACUGCUUCGCUUUGCCUUGCAUCUGUCCCACUGACUCUCUCUCUCUCUCUCUCUCUCUCUCUCUUUUCUCUCAAUAUAACCAGUGUCAUCCUCCCUCCCUCUCUCCCUCUAAAUGACCCAGCAGUUUUUGGACGGGGGUCCAUCUGUCCUGCUGUAAACUCCUCCUGCAGUGGUUGGUUGCUGACGGGGCCAACAAUCAGCUCGACGGCUGCAGACUGAGGCCGAGGUUUUGGGAGUUUUCACACUUCUGAUCAAAGAGAAGCAGAAGAGGCUGAAGAAGAGCUGCAUUAAUAUUUCAGAGCUCCACAUGGUUGAAUCAGAGACGACAGCAGAUUAGUGGAGCUGUUUUAUGUGCCAAAACAGAUUCACCUUGGUGCUCUGCAGUCAAAUUUCUUGCUCAAAGUAAAAGACGCACCAUGUUAAUAAUUUUCCUGUAAGUGAUAAAAAUUUCUUAAUUAAUCCAAUAAUUUCAUUUUUGCUUCUUUGUAGGUCUAGACCCAAUUGAUGGCUUGUCCUCUCUGUGUGCGCUCCUUUUGAAUAUAUAGUCAGAGGAUGAUCAAGGUUAACUUUAUGACUUUUUAUCUACUAUAGACUCAUGUCCUAUGUAUGAUACUGACUGGAAUUUAUUAUUCAAUUUUUUUUCCCGACUUUGUUUCUAUUUGUAUUAAAAACCAAUUGUUUUUCUAUUUUGUAUUUUGUUUUGUUUUUCCUUGUCUUUUGUCAUUCUGUACUUUACCUCAAACUUUGACCUUAAAUGUUGUAUUCACAUAUUUCAUUUCAUCUCCACACAUAUACAGUAUACACAAACACACACAUACACACAUAGAUGAUAUUCUGAAACUGAAAACAAUAAUGCCUCACAGUGGAUUGGUCUGCAGCCUAACUUUUUCAGACCCUCAGUGACUUCAUUUCUAAAAAUCUCCUGCUGGACAAUGUUUUUAUUGUCCCAACCAACAGUGACAUGAAAUAUCUGCCCUUGGAUAUGUAGACAUGUCUAUUUUGCAGGUCUUUCUUGAUCAUAAAGGUCAUUUGGUCCUCUUUUGAUAGGCAGGAGGGCUCUGAUUUGACAAACCUCUCUGUAUAAAAGUCAUGUACUGGAUGCAGACACUGAUAUUUUCAUAUUUGUUUUCAUAAUGUAUUUAUUGUAUAAUGAA